CACCAAGUCCGAGGUUCCGGUGAACACCGGAACCUGGUGCGAAAGGGA
rnacentral:sRNA from 1 species